CCUAAAAUGAAUGCCUCAUCGUUCAGCUCUGUUCCUCAUUUCCUUCUUCCACCACAUGAACUUUAAUUCUAGCUCCUCACUCCUGCCAUGACGACGUCGCCUGAAGAAGAACGCUGACCUCCACCUAUCUUAGAACUGGCCUUCGCCUAUCUGCACAUACCGACGUCCGCUAGCCUCCGCCAAUCAGGUAUUUUCUUCUCAUCUUUUUUUUUUGAAAAAACUGCUUACAUCUGUUGCGUCUCUCUUCCUCAUCUGAAAUUGAUGUUUUUUCACCAAAAGAGAAUACUCCACCAUCGUGAAAUUUAAUAGGCUUGAAAUCGAACCUUCCCAUCUGAAAUCGAUGUCGAUUUCACCAAUGGUUUAUCAAUUUCAACUGUAAUGAUAUGCAUACUCUUUCAUGGGGUGUUCAAUGUGCUUCCUUUCAUGUCCUACUAUGUAUAUUUAGGAGAUGGGUUUAUUUGGUGUUCAUAUUCUUUUACAGAUGUUGUUAUUGGUGCUACUUAUGAGGCUACUAUAUUCCAAAUAUACCUCAUCUUUUUGCAUCUUACAUGAUCGGAGUUACUCCUCAUUUCUUCUUGGCGGCUGCUAAAAUUGUGUGGGUUUGGACUAAAAUGCCCCUGAAGUUGAUGUCACAUACUUUUAAUUAUUAAUUGUUGCUAAAUUAUUAAUUUUUGCUAAGCUGUUCGAGAUCAUCCAAGUGGUAAAAGAUUUUUUGUUGGAAUUUUGUUACAUAGUACCUUGCCCUUGGUUGUUUGCCUCCUAAAGUACAAUGCCUUUUGCUGCUACAUCACAACGUCCGCCUCUCUUUAAGGGUCUCAUACGUGCUAAUGUUCCUCCUAUUUCACUGUUUUCUGCUGGAGCUUUAUAAAAUUUGAAAUUAUUUACGUUUAAUUUGAAUUUUGUAUGACAUUUUGUAUAACUAUUCAUCAAUUUUAUUGACAUUGUAUGAAACAGAUACAUUUAAUUAAUCAUUAACUAAAUAAAAGGGUAAAAUGGUCAUUUUCAAC
rnacentral:lncRNA from 1 species